UACAGAGGUCCCAAGCGUUGUUCGGAUUCACUGGGCGUAAAGGGUGCGUAGGUGGUGGGGUAAGUCGGAUGUGAAAGCUCGGAGCUCAACUCCGAAAUGGCAUUGGAAACUACCCCGCUAGAGGGUCGGAGGGGGGACUGGAAUUCUCGGUGUAGCAGUGAAAUGCGUAGAUAUCGAGAGGAACACCAGUGGCGAAGGCGAGUCCCUGGACGACUCCUGACACUGAGGCACGAAAGCUAGGGGAGCAAACAGG
rnacentral:rRNA from 1 species